rnacentral:pre_miRNA from 1 species
CUACGCAUCGGUACGGACAGGGGCAACAUUGUGACAUUUGAAAGCUAAUAUUGCACUUGUCCCGGCCUAUGCGUGG